CUUUCCUUGGAUUACCAGUUCUGGAAGGGUGUUUCUGCAAAGAGUUUCUCUGGCUGAAUAUCCGUAGAGAGCGGGGCAUGUCUGCGGGCUCACACRGAUAGCGGACGGCACAUUUCUCUGGGAGUCCAUGGGCUGAGCGGGGCUGGUCUCUGGCAUGGGGCACCAUCGUUCCCCAGGUCAUGCUCCAGGCGUUUAGCUGCUUAAAAGGUGCUAUUGCAAGCACAGGAAGAGAGCCUCAACUCUUGCACACUUGCAAAUAAAGCCUCCAGCACAGAGGGGAGACUAAGGAAGAGUCAGCGACUUCCUCCCAAGCUAAGGCAACGUUUCAGAGAUGCUCACUUGCUGCCUCAGCAGAGACCUCGGCCAAUGCUGCUGGAGCAACGGAGUGGUUACCUCCCCUGAGCUGGUGGUUAGUGACCCUGUGCCAGAGGCUUGGUGAUCGGACAGCAAGAGCUUCCAUUCCCUCUCAGUGCGAGCUGGGGCUUAGACUUGUGCAAGCUCUGCCACACCUGCAUCUCCAGGCACCAGAAGCAAAUGUCCUCUCGCUGGCGCUGCAGGAGCUUCGGCUCCAUUCUUCUGUUCCUCGGAGAAAACCUGGCUCUCAUCGCUGAAAUCCCUCAGGAUUUUGUCAAUGGCACUGUUGGCCAGUCCGUGCUCCUACCUGUCUCCUACAAAUUUAUGAACUCCUCUCGCUUCCCACUGCCAUUUGAAUGGACAUUCCAUAACCGCUCUGAGCCAAUUGCCUCCUGCACGGUGAUGAACUGCUCCCUGAGUGCUGAGGGAGCUCCCAAGCACUGCUCUGCAAACCAUUUCACACGUGCUGCAUACCAAGGUCGUGUUGUGCUUUUCGCUGAGAACGCAUCCCUGCUGCUCCAGGACCUGCAGCUCAGUGACAGCGGGGUGUACAACAUCACCUUCAAACAGCAGCUCCAAACCAGGCAGAUCACCUUAACUGUGUACAACCCUCAUUUCAGCCUUAAAAAUCCAGACCGUAAUGACCCAAAAAAGGAUAUUUCAAGCCAGAUCUCUGCCUACGUAAUUGGAGUUUCUUCUUGUCUAAUGUCCUUCCUUCUGCUACUSCUGGUCUUCUGCUGUGUAAGGCACCUGGGUGCAGUUCAACAGAAGAAAACGAGAAUCAUUAGACAACAAGAGGUCUCAAAUGCUGAGUCGUCUCCCAUGGAAAGUACCAUGAUGAGGGAUGGAGCAACUAUUUAUGCCAGAGUUGGAGACAGCUUUGAACAGCCACAGCCGAGAACAACACCAGAAGUUGUGUACAUGUCCGUAACCUUCUCUGAUCCAUCAGGACCGGAUUGCCCACUGUCGUCUUGUGCAGCGACUGUGGAUCUGCCUCAAGAGGGAGUCUUGAACUUUGCUAAAUAUAGUCCUGUUUCAAAGUGAAGAGGAUAUUUUUGUCACUGACUCUCUCUGCUGAUGUGACCCUCAGUGCUCUUACUCCAGCAGCUCUUAGUCUGCACACUGAGUGCAGGCUAUAGAGGAUUUGGAGCUACCGAGUAUGGAAAUGCCUUAGUUUGCCUCGAUUUGCAGUCUCUCUUGAAUUUGAGGAAUGAGUUGGUUUUAGUUUUUUCUUGAUACUUCCCGAGAGUACAAAGACACACAGCGUAAGAGAAAGAUUCAUAAGGCAAAGGCAGAUCAACAAUUUGGUCCAUGGGAACCUUACUUCCAUAGACUCACCUUAACUGGAGGGGUAACGGACAACAGUAAAUGGAUCUUAAUCAUGUGUCCCAGGUUCACUGCCAACGGUCUUGUCAUAUUAAAAGAAUAGAUGAA
rnacentral:lncRNA from 1 species